CUUGCCCUGGAGGCGGUACAGGCUGGGCUGCAGUGCCAUUCUUGUGUCAUGCAGGGGCAGAGAAAAGCAGGCUGUGUCUACACUCUGUGCUCUGCAAAGCAAACCUGUGGGCACGCGGGAUGAUUUGUAGCCUGGCGAA
ensembl:snoRNA